rnacentral:lncRNA from 1 species
AGGGAUAAAAAGAGUUCUGCAGCCAACUGCUGGGUGUGUGUUCAGGCCGCUCUACCUCAGGAGAACCAACUGUCAGCUAUAGGGCUGAGCGGGCCAUCUGCUUGCUUGAAGCAUCCAUCCCUUGCCUUCUACCAGCUUUCCAAAGACAAAUGGGGCAACCACCACCACCACCAAAAGCCUCUGGAAUGCGACCUUUGUGCCCAGAGGCUGCCUGCUGGCUGGCAUCGAGGACGUCAGAGGCUCUUACUCGGAGACGCCUUGCUUGACUUCAGGCGACCAUCUCCUUUUGGACUUGGAGCUGCAGUUUUUCUGGA